rnacentral:rRNA from 1 species
UAGGGAAUCUUCGGCAAUGGACGAAAGUCUGACCGAGCAACGCCGCGCGAGUGAAGAAGGUUUUCGGAUCGUAAAACUCUGUUGUUAGAGAAGAACAAGGACGUUAGUAACUGAACGUCCCCUGACGGUAUCUAACCAGAAAGCCACGGCUAACUACGUGCCAGCAGCCGCGGUAAUACGUAGGUGGCAAGCGUUGUCCGGAUUUAUUGGGCGUAAAGCGAGCGCAGGCGGUUUCUUAAGUCUGAUGUGAAAGCCCCCGGCUCAACCGGGGAGGGUCAUUGGAAACUGGGAGACUUGAGUGCAGAAGAGGGGAGUGGAAUUCCAUGUGUAGCGGUGAAAUGCGUAGAUAUAUGGAGGAACACCAGUGGCGAAGGCGGCUCUCUGGUCUGUAACUGACGCUGAGGCUCGAAAGCGUGGGGAGCAAACAGG